GACGAACGCUGGCGGCGUGCUUAACACAUGCAAGUCGAACGGUAAAGGGGUGUUCUCUUGUUGGCCCUGGGUGGGUGGCGAACGGAAGAGUAACACGAUAUUAACCUUCCUCCUUCUUCUGCAUGAGCGCCUGAAAGUGUGGCUAAUUAGGGAUAUUCUGGGUCUGUCGUAUGAUGGGUAUUGUUACGGUUGGGCCUUUGGGUGUUGCUGGUGGGGGAUGGGCUCGCGUCCUAUCAGCUUGUUGGGGCGGCGAUGGCCUAGCAAGGCGGGGACGGGUAGCCGGGCUGAGAGGGUGGACGGUGAGAAUGGGACUGAGACACGGGCCAGACUGCUACGGGAGGCAGGAGUGGGGAAUGUUGCACAAAGGGCGCAAGCCUGAUGCAGCGACGCCGCGUGAGGGAUGGAGGCCUUCGGGUUGUAAACCUCUUUCGCGAGUGAAGCAGGCCUGCUCCUUGUGGGUGGGUUGACGGUAGCUGGAUAAGAAGCGCCGGCUAACUACGUG
rnacentral:rRNA from 1 species